rnacentral:rRNA from 1 species
GACGAACGCUGGCGGCGCGCCUAAUACAUGCAAGUAGAACGCUGAAGAGAGAAGCUUGCUCUUCUUGGAUGAGUUGCGAACGGGUGAGUAACGCGUAGGUAACCUGCCUUGUAGCGGGGGAUAACUAUUGGAAACGAUAGCUAAUACCGCAUAACAAUGGAUGACACAUGUCAUUUAUUUGAAAGGGGCAAUUGCUCCACUACAAGAUGGACCUGCGUUGUAUUAGCUAGUAGGUGAGGUAAUGGCUCACCUAGGCGACGAUACAUAGCCGACCUGAGAGGGUGAUCGGCCACACUGGGACUGAGACACGGCCCAGACUCCUACGGGAGGCAGCAGUAGGGAAUCUUCGGCAAUGGGGGCAACCCUGACCGAGCAACGCCGCGUGAGUGAAGAAGGUUUUCGGAUCGUAAAGCUCUGUUGUAAGUCAAGAACGGGUGUGAGAGUGGAAAGUUCACACUGUGACGGUAGCUUACCAGAAAGGGACGGCUAACUACGUG